GGGGCCGUAGCUCAGUUGGGAGAGCGCGUGAAUCGCACUCACGAGGUCAGGGGUUCAAAUCCCCUCGGCUCCACCA
rnacentral:tRNA from 1 species